rnacentral:tRNA from 1 species
GCCCGCGUGGCGGAAUAGGUAGACGCCGCGGACUUAAAAUCCGCUGAUCGCAAGGUCGUCCCGGUUCAACUCCGGGCGUGGGCACCA